AAUGGCUCACCAAGCCGAAGAUCCGUAGGGGCCUUGACAGAGGUAGCCCCGAGAAGGGCACUGAGAUACUGGCCCUAGCUCCACGGAGUGCAGCAGGCGCGAAACCUUUACAAUGCACGGAAGUGUGAUAAGGGAACCCCAAGUGAUAAUGCAAAGCAUUAUCUUUUGCUUAGAGCAAAUAUCUAAGCGAAUAAGUGGUGGGCAAUACCUGUGCCAGCCGCCGCGGUAACCCAGGAGCCACAAGUGGCAACCACCUUUAUUGGGCCUAAAGCGUCCGUAGCCGGUUUUGUAAAUUUCCUGUGAAAUAGUUGCGCUUAACGUAACUGCGUGCAGGAAACACUGCAAGACUUGGAACCGGGAGGAGUCAGAGGUAUUUUGGGGGGAGCGGUAAAAUGCUAUAAUCCCCGAAGGACCACCUGUGGCGAAAGCGUCUGACUAGAACGGAUUCGACGGUGAGGGACGAAAGCUAGGGGAGCAAUCCGGAUUAGAUAC
rnacentral:rRNA from 1 species